rnacentral:rRNA from 1 species
GGAUUAGGCAUGCAAGUCGCACGAGAAAGGUUUCUUCGGAAGCCGAGUACAGUGGCGAACGGGUGAGUAAUGCAUAGACAACUCGCCCUUGAGAUGGGGACAACGCCUCGAAAGGGGUGCUAAUACCCAAUGCCGCUUUGGGCUGCGGGUCCAGGGUGAAAGGAGGCCUCUGAUUCAAGCUUCCGCUCAAGGAGAGGUUUAUGUCCUAUUAGCUAGUUGGCGGGGUAACGGCCCACCAAGGCUGCGAUGGGUAGCCGACCUGAGAGGGUGACCGGCCACAUUGGGACUGAGACACUGCCCAGACUCCUACGGGAGGCUGCAGUCGAGAAUCUUCCGCAAUGCGCGCAAGCGUGACGGAGCGACGCCGCGUGGGUGAUGAAGGCCUUCGGGUUGUAAAACCCUGUCAGCUACUACGAAACACGGGCGAUGAACAAUCGUCCCGUCUGACUUAAGUAGCAGAGGAAGCACCGGCCAACUACGUGCCAGCAGCCGCGGUAAUACGUAGGGUGCAAACGUUGUUCGGAAUCACUGGGCAUAAAGGGCGCGUAGGCGGUCUGAUAAGUCAGGUGUGAAAUCCCUCGGCCUAACCGAGGAACUGCAUUUGAUACUGUCGGGCUAGAGUACAGGAGGGGAGAGUGGAAUUCCUGGUGGAGCGGUGAAAUGCGUAGAUAUCAGGAGGAACGCCGGCGGCGAAAGCGACUCUCUGGCCUGUUACUGACGCUGAGGCGCGAAAGCUAGGGGAGCAAACGGGAUUAGAUACCCCGGUAGUCCUAGCCCUAAACGAUGGGCACUAAGUAGAGGGGUUUU